UAUACUUUAAAAAGUAUACAUCUUUAGAAAUACAAAAAAACUAUUCAUUUAUCAAGUAAAUUUCUCAUAGUUAGAUAUAAUUUCCCUUAAAAUAAAUCACUUUAAAAUGAAAAAAAUUGUGACUAUCUUCCAUAGAAAAUAUUUCCUGUUUUAGAAUAUCAAUCAUCUUUGUAAUCUGCGGGUUUAUUUUUAUUGUUCCCUCAUUUGGACAUAGAUGACCUUGUUGGGUCACUUGGUUAGGUUAGUCGCCGUAGGGGCCGAUGAGAGCCUGUCGGCAGGUUUAGGCAAUGGCGAGCAACUUCAGAAGGAUGAACCAUCAGGUGCAUGGGCCAUAAAACGCGGCUCUGUAGGACACAGCGUUCCUGAUGACAGCAGUAAAUCUGUUUCAAAUAAAGUGAGCUGUUUGCUUAAACCUCCCCGUGUUCUGCCAGACCUUUGACGCGGCAAACCAACUCAAUAUAGAAAUGAGUGAGCCCUUAGGCUGCAGGACGGAUACACUCAAAGUACAGAUUGUUGUGUCAAAAUUGCAUUUAGUCACAUAUGACACAAUGCUCUAGUGAAGUGUUUGGCAUGCUGCUUUUGAGAACUUUCUAUUUGAAGAGAAUUGCUCCUUCUAUUAUUGUUCCAUCAUAAUUUACCAAUUAUAUUCUUUCAACAUAGCAUACCACUUUCCUGAAGAGAUGCCUAUUUCUUCAUCCCUGUGAUAAAUCCAUGGUCUUUUAAAUUAAUUUUUUUCAAUAAAAUUAUACAAGGAAAAAUGUGCGUAGCAUCCCAAGGAAGCAUGGAUUAUUUAAAAGUAAGCCUAGACAUUUUUCUUUUAUUUUUAUAUCCACGCUUUUUUGUGCUACCCUUUUUUCAGUGAAGAUUGCUUCAAAUAAAGCUGUCUGAUAGAGAGACAUGGUUGCUAGGGAGCCAGGCACGAUGGCGUAUGUUGCCAGGGAGGAAAGAGAGGUGAGUCCCUGAUUAUAGAAGAAAACCAUUUUUCAUUCUCCUUGAAAGCAAAUCUUCUUUAUAUACAGAUGACAAGUUCACUAACUCACCAGGAGUAAGGUUUCAGAGAGAAAUAUGGAAUUUUAAUACGUUUCCCAGAGGGGAAGUAAACCUAAGGACAUUUCCUCAGGAUGAAGGAGUGGGGUUUAUACUCACCCAUAUCUUAUUCUGUGGUGGGAAAUCUUUCCACAAGAGCAAAACAGGCAAAUCUCUGGCUAAUGAAACUGGACAUGCUCUCUAAGAGCUUGGCCUUGUCACCUGGGUGGAGUGAGCAUAAUCUCUUGCAAAUAUUUUUUUCCAUCUUCAUGUUUGGUCAUGCCAGUAAAUAAAUGCUUAUCGCAGCUCUGUAUGAGUUAGAUAUUUUACUAGAGAUUUUUUUAAUGCAUUUUCUUAUUUAAUCUCAUAACCUGUUGCAAGAUGUUAUCAUUUCAAUAAACACAAGGAACAAUUCCAGUCGGAGUAGAGAGAAGAUUUGAAUGUCAAUUAGUGUCACUAUCUUCUCUGCUUACACAUCUCAGUAAUUCCACUGCUACUGAAGAAUCAGUUCAAUACAUAGACACCCCAGUUUCAUAUAAACAAGAGCAUAAGCGCUUUUUCUUUUUAACAAAAUACUUUUCAAAAAAAAACAUAAAUGCUGAAGUUUAAUGAAAUAAUAUUGGAGAUUUGUCUGGUUGUUGAAAGACAAAAUGUGUUAAACAGCAUUUAGGUUUAAGUUUAGAAAACUAGCUGCCUCAUUGUUGGGCUCCCUUUAGAGUGUAAAUAGCCUAGACAAUAUGGCUCAGUUGUAAAGGACUUGCUGACAAGAUACCGAGUGUGCAUGAUUUUCCCAAGAUGCACAAGAGGGUGAUUACUAAGGAUUUUUUGCAAUGCAGUGGGAAUAUUGCCAGAUUAUAAAAGAAAAGCAUUUUCAGUCAAACUGCCCCAGGAAUAUUUUAAAUUGGCAACCAGACAACCUUAUCAGCCAUGUGUUUAGGUAUCUUCAACCUCUUCUGCCCUAAAAGUCUUUAGAGGAAUCCCAAGGCUGAGCAUAUCUACCACUUCUAAGAUAAAGGAGUUCUCCUGGUCAACAUGCUCACUUAGCUGGGUUUAAACAAGGGUGCAUGGAAUUGACCUGUACCUGUAGAAAAGAGAUUGCUCAUGUUUUAUUUCAUAUGGAAAGAAGGCAUUAGUCAAGCUGAAGAAUUCACUGGAAGCCUAUUGGCUGAAGAAACCACAUUUUAUAAACUAGAAUCAUUUUUAGAAGACAAAAGUGGGCUUUUGUUUGAGUCUUGCUCCGUAGUCAGGUUGGCCUGGGACUCACAGCACAGCCCUGGUUGGCCUUGAACCAAGGCAAUCCAAUUACCUCUGCCCUCCAAGUGCUGGAAUUAUAGGCAUGAGCCAACGUGCCUGUCUUUAAAGUGGAUUUAUAGGUUGAAACAGUGAACAAGAUAUACUACCUACCUGAGUGGAAUCAAGUAAGACAGUCAUUGUGUCCACUUUUCAAAAGUCCUAACUAGAUAAUUUUAUGGUAUUUUAUGGUAGCCAGCCAUGGAGCAAAGGUUAUUUAAUGAUCAUCAAUAGGACACAUGGGCUUGGAUAUGAAAACGUUUUCUAGUCUACCAUCAUACUCCCUUGUAUAAACCCAAUUUAGUAUGAUCUCAGAAGCUAGCCAGGGUCAGGCCUACUGAGUACUUGGGUGUUUUCGUAGAAAAAGAAAACAAAAGUUUGAUCCAUUCCUCAGGGACACUUUUGGGUUGAUCACUAUAAGAGACAGAAUAUUUGAUUAGGUAAACUGGGAAGGUCUACCAAAUGCCACCCUACUUUAAUUGCUAUUGCUUAGAGACAUGGUGUUUGGGGAUUACUGCCUUAUUGGCUACCCAUGAAGUUGGUGCUGCCAACUUAUCUCCCAGGAGGGUGUGGUCAAGCCUUUAAUUGACUCCCACUUCAGAGGCUAUGACACUGUGGCAUCAACCCUAGCAGUAGAACUGAACCUUGAACAGGGCCCAAGAUAAGAGAUUUAUUUGAAAGACAAGACGCCUUUCUUAAACUCACAGGUGCUUGUAAAGCAUGGAAGUGCUGAGACUUGUGCUUGAAGCACAGAAGGGAAGAGGAAGCAGGCAUUCUUUCACACUCUUUGUAAAUUUUAUGUCAACUUUCCAGGAAAAACAUUAUCAGAAGUUGUACGAUGCCUUAUGUAUGGAAAUUGUUCAGGGAAAAAGCAGCAUGAAAAUCACUGUUAAGAUUGUAAUGCUGGGCAGGUGGGACGGCUCGGAAAGCAAAGGCACUCGCUGCCAAAGGUCGUGAUUUGAGCUUGGUCUCUGAGACCCACCUGGUGGAAGAAGAGAACCAGCUCCCGAAGUAGCUGCUACUGACUCAAUCUUCUUUGACUAGAAUUGCAACUUAAUCAUAAAGAUGCUUUGCAAGGAGGAGCUCCCUGGAUUAUUCUUCCUGUAGAUCUGAUAGAAGCACAGCAUUGCAUAUAUGCCUAAAAUGGCAUCUCAUUUACCGCAUGUCAUUCCCACCUGUUUGAAUGACGUUCAUUUUCCACAUGGAGGAAGGUAAGGCCAUCCCUGUCCCUGUUAAAAUCUAUAUGAAUACAGUUUUCACCUUUAUUUCAUGUAUCAGACAAACUGAAGUGUGACUAGAAUGUAUUUUCUUUUUUUCAAAAAUUACCCUCUUUUUUGGCAUGUAUUUUUAUACUAUCACCUCUUGGGAGAGAGCUUGUAUAAUAUACAGUAUAAUAUACAUAUUAUGUGAUAUAUAGCAUCUAAUAUACACAAUCUAUAGAUAACGUUUGUCAUUUUUGUGAUACAUACAUGUUAUAGAGAAAGGGGGCUCAGCACGGGG